UUUCCUUCUUUCCCCUUCGACUGGGAGGGAGCCCAGGACAGAGACAGAGGUGCAAGUUCCACAUCUUCAUCCAGACCCAGGGCUGCCGACAUCACUAUCACGAAGGAAAGCUACAUGGCUCAGAAGAGAACUGUCAUUCACAUGUCACUAAUACAAUUUGCUAAAAAAGGAAAUUUUUAUAAACACACCAAAAUGGAAUGACUCCGAAAAUGAUUAUACUGGAGAGUACAAGUAAUAUGACUCUGGACCAGGUAGCAGAAGACCAAUAAUUAGGGUCCUUAACUUUCUCUACCUCACUCCUUCACUCACUUGGAAUGCCACUUCCAUACUGGGGAGCUGAGUGAACAUCGGAACAGUCAUUGCCCGGAAAGUAUGGUAGCACCUGGUUGGUCAGAUGCGGAGUCAGUGUCACAGCACUGGGCGAGGGUGUGAAGCCUGACGAGGCGUGAUUCACGGAGUCUGAUGGUAGAUGCAUCUUGUCUGGGAGAGGACCAAACUCAUUAGACUGGUGGUUAUUGCGGGGUGGUGUCACAAACAGCUGGGAGAAAUCCUUCCAAAUCUGCCCUAAGGAAGAAGUGACUUUCAGGCGGCACUGCACCAUCUGGUGACCGUGCUCCCUGAAACAACACCCUUACCUUUAUAUUUUUCAUCUGUGGUCUGUGGCUACCAUUUUUCACCUCUGGUCUGUCUAGUUGUGCAGAGAACAACUGUAUUACCCUGAGUGUGUUUGUAUGUAUAGACGUGCAUCCACAUCCACAAAUACAUAAAUGUAUAUUUGC